rnacentral:rRNA from 1 species
UUGACCUCGGUUCAGGUAG